AAUGAACGUUGGCGGCGUGGAUUAGGCAUGCAAGUCGCGCGACAAGGUUUUUAUAGCAAUAUAAAGACUGGAGGAGCGGCGAAAGGGUGAGGAACACGUGGAUAUCUACCCUCAGGCUCGGGAUAGUGGCGGGAAACUGCCAGUAAUACCGAAUAACAUCUCCGGAUCAAAGCUCCGGCACCUGUGGACGAGUCCGCGUCCCAUUAGCUAGUUGGCGGGGUAAUAGCCCACCAAGGCAAAGAUGGGUAGUGGGCGUGAGAGCGCGACCCACCACACUGGGACUGAGAUACUGCCCAGACACCUACGGGAGGCAG
rnacentral:rRNA from 1 species